GUCAGGACGAACGCUGGCGGCGUGCCUAAUACAUGCAAGUCGAGCGACAGAUGGGAGCUUGCUCCCUGAUGUUAGCGGCGGACGGGUGAGUAACACGUGGGUAACCUGCCUGUAAGACUGGGAUAACUCCGGGAAACCGGGGCUAAUACCGGAUGCUUGUUUGAACCGCAUGGUUCAAACAUAAAAGGUGGCUUCGGCUACCACUUACAGAUGGACCCGCGGCGCAUUAGCUAGUUGGUGAGGUAAUGGCUCACCAAGGCAACGAUGCGUAGCCAACCUGAGAGGGUGACCGCCCACACUGGGACUGAGACACGGCCAACACUAAUACGGGAGGCAGCAGUAGGGAAUCUUCCGCAAUGGACGAAAGUCUGACGGAGCAACGCCGCGUGAGUGAUGAAGGUUUUCGGAUCGUAAAGCUCUGUUGUUAGGGAAGAACAAGUACCGUUCGAAUAGGGCGGUACCUUGACGGUACCUAACCAGAAAGCCACGGCUAACUACGUGCCAGCAGCCGCGGUAAUACGUAGGUGGCAAGCGUUGUCCGGAAUUAUUGGGCGUAAAGGGCUCGCAGGCGGUUCCUUAAGUCUGAUGUGAAAAGCCCCCGGCUCAACCGGGGAGGGUCAUUGGAAACUGGGGAACUUGAGUGCAGAAGAGGAGAGUGGAAUUCCACGUGUAGCGGUGAAAUGCGUAGAGAUGUGGAGGAACACCAGUGGCGAAGGCGACUCUCUGGUCUGUAACUGACGCUGAGGAGCGAAAGCGUGGGGAGCGAACAGGAUUAGAUACCCUGGUAGUCCACGCCGUAAACGAUGAGUGCUAAGUGU
rnacentral:rRNA from 1 species